UCUGUUACUCUCAUUAUAUUCGUAUAAUAAGAUAAAGAUGCAUUUCAUUAUUUAUAUGGAUGAAUCUAACCUUGAGUUGCAGCAAAGUGUGGAUUGAGUCGACCCCAAGGUUGAUUGGGUCGACCCCGGCACAUAAAGAAAGCAUCUGGCACACUUCUGCAAAAAUGGCACGGAUGAACAGUAGUUGGGUUGACCCAAGGAAAGCAUGAGUCGACCCAA
rnacentral:lncRNA from 1 species